UACGUAGGGGGCGAGCGUUGUCCGGAUUUACUGGGCGUAAAGGGAGCGUAGGCGGACUUUUAAGUGAGAUGUGAAAUACUCGGGCUCAACUUGAGUGCUGCAUUUCAAACUGGAAGUCUAGAGUGCAGGAGAGGAGAAUGGAAUUCCUAGUGUAGCGGUGAAAUGCGUAGAGAUUAGGAAGAACACCAGUGGCGAAGGCGAUUCUCUGGACUGUAACUGACGCUGAGGCUCGAAAGCGUGGGGAGCAAACAGG
rnacentral:rRNA from 1 species